CAGGAUGAACGCUGGCGGCAGGCUUAAUACAUGCAAGUCGAACGGUAAGGCCGAGCGUAGCAAUACGUGAGGUACACGAGUGGCGCACGGGUGCGUAACGCGUAUGCAACCUGCCCCCAACCGGGACAAAAACAGCUGGAAACGGCUGCUAAUAUCCCAUAGCCACCUGGGAGGGCAUCCUCCUGGGUGUAAAGAUUCAUUGGUUGGGGAUGGGCAUGCGUAUUAUUAGGUAGUUGGCGGGGUAACGGCCCACCAAGCCGACGAUGAUUAGGGGUCCUGAGAGGGUUAACCCCCACACUGGAACUGAGACACGGUCCAGACUCCUACGGGAGGCAGCAGUAGGGAAUAUUGAGCAAUGGGAGGAAUCCUGACCCAGCCAUGCCGCGUGAAGGAAGACGGCCCUAUGGGUUGUAAACUUCUUUUGCCGCAGAGUAAACCCGGUCACGUGUGGCCGGUUGAGAGUAUGCGGCGAAUAAGUAUCGGCUAACUCCGUGCCAGCAGCAGC
rnacentral:rRNA from 1 species